GAUGAACGCUGGCGGCGUGCUUAACACAUGCAAGUCGAACGGUGAAGGCGGAUCUUGCUCUUCUGGAUCAGUGGCGAACGGGUGAGUAACACGUGAGCAAUCUUCCUCUGACUCUGGGAUAAGCGCUGGAAACGGCGUCUAAUACUGAAUACUUUCUUCGCAUGCAUCUUCAGCAGCUGGAAAGAACUUCGGUCAGGGAUGAGCUCGCGGCCUAUCAGAUUGUUGGUGAGGUAACGGCUCACCAAGGCGUCGACGGGUAGCCGGCCUGAGAGGGUGACCGGCAAAACUGGGACUGAGACACGGGACGGAGUCCUAAGGAAGGCAGCAGUGGGGGAUAUUGCCCGAUGGGGGAAAGCCUGAUGAAGCACGGCCGCGUGAGGGACGACGGCCUUCGGGUUGUAAACCACUUUUAGAAGGGAAGAAGAGAAAGUGACGGUACCUGAAGAAAAAGCGCCGGCUAACUACGUG
rnacentral:rRNA from 1 species